rnacentral:rRNA from 1 species
UACGGAGGGGGCUAGCGUUGUUCGGAAUUAUUGGGCGUAAAGCGCGCGCAGGCGGUCCUUUAAGUCUGAUGUGAAAGCCCACGGCUUAACCGUGGAGGGUCAUUGGAAACUGGAGGACUUGAGUGCAGAAGAGGAGAGUGGAAUUCCACGUGGAGCGGUGAAAUGCGUAGAGAUGUGGAGGAACACCAGUGGCGAAGGCGACUCUCUGGUCUGUAACUGACGCUGAGGCGCGAAAGCGUGGGUAGCGAACAGG